AUUGAACGCUGGCGGCAGGCUUAACACAUGCAAGUCGAACGGUAACAUAAAGAAGCUUGCUUCUUUGAUGACGAGUGGCGGACGGGUGAGUAAUGCUUGGGAAUCUAGCUUAUGGAGGGGGAUAACUAUGGGAAACUGUAGCUAAUACCGCGUAGAAUCGGGAGAUGAAAGUGUGGGACCUUCGGGCCACAUGCCAUAGGAUGAGCCCAAGUGGGAUUAGGUAGUUGGUGAGGUAAAGGCUCACCAAGCCGACGAUCUCUAGCUGGUCUGAGAGGAUGACCAGCCACACUGGGACUGAGACACGGCCCAGACUCCGACGGGAGGCAGCAGUGGGGAAUAUUGCGCAAUGGGGGCAACCCUGACGCAGCCAUGCCGCGUGAAUGAAGAAGGCCUUCGGGUUGUAAAGUUCUUUCGGUAGCGAGGAAGGCAUUUAGUUUAAUAGACUAGGUGAUUGACGUUAACUACAGAAGAAGCACCGGCUAACUCCGUGCCAGCCGCCGCGGUAA
rnacentral:rRNA from 1 species